rnacentral:rRNA from 1 species
UACGGGGGGGGCAAGCGUUGUUCGGAAUUACUGGGCGUAAAGGGCUCGUAGGCGGCCAACUAAGUCAGACGUGAAAUCCCCAGGCUCAACCUGGGAACUGCGUCUGAUACUGGAUGGCUUGAAUCCGGGAGAGGGAUGCAGAAUUCCAGGUGUAGCGGUGAAAUGCGUAGAUAUCUGGAGGAACACCAAUUGCGAAGGCAGCUCGCUGGGACGUUACUGACGCUGAGACGCGAAAGCGUGGGGAGCAAACAGG